AUUGCUUUGGAGCCUGUCCUGGAACUCUCUCUGUAGACCAAGUUGGCCUUGAACUCAUAGAGAUCUGCCUGCCUCUACCUCCUGAGUGCUGAGAUUAAUGGUGUGCACCACCAAUGCCUGGCUCGAAGGGACCAUUGAUGAGUUAUUCCCAUUAUUAGGGAAAACAAAAGAACAUUUCCCACAAAGGAACCUUUAACAUUGAGUUAUUCCCACUCUGAGGGCAAAACAUUUUAAUCAAAAUUAAGCAAACAAACAACCAGACAAUCUAAGGUCUGGGCCGGCUGUGCUUGCUCAGGCUGCAGCAUUGAGGCUCCACCUGUCAUGCUUGGUAGUUCCUAUGUCUCCACUUUGCUGCAGGCCAGUCCCUGAAAGAGCUGACAGGCAGAGUGCAGCCAAAGAGAUCAGAGUUUCAGCUAGUCUUAAUUUCUUUCAUCAGAAGAGCCUUUUUUUUCUUCCUCAAUUUAUACUGGAAAGAGGUUUUUUUCGCUUAUUUUUUAUUUAUGGGGCCUUUUAAAUUUAGGCCUUGAGUCAUCAUUCCCCACCCCCACUUUUAACCAGGAAAAUCCUUUUGUCUGAUUAAACAUUUUCUCCUUUCAUCAAGAAAUUCCCUUUCCUUCCCUCUUCUCUACUGAGAAGAGCCUUGUUCCUCGAUUUAUUCUUUGUUCCAAGAGCCAUUUUACUUGUUGAUGCUCCAAUCCUGAGAUGGGGAAUUUAGGUCCCCCAUGUUCCAGCCCUAUCCUGGAGCCUCAUCUACUACUAUGGGUGUACCUUACCUCCAGUCUUGGGGUAUCCAGACCCUUCUUUCCUCAUGCCCACGUUGCUGAUCACCAAAUAUUGAGGUGUUCUGCAUAGUGCAGGUCAUUUGAAGACAGAAGACAUGCCAAAAUGAAAUUUUAAGAUCUAUGGGACAGCAGAAAGGGCCAGACUUGCUGAUGGACUGAACCCUGAAUAGCCAUACAAGGGUGUAUUUAUCCAUUGUUACACAAAGAAUUCCCUCAUACAAAGGUCCCCAAUCUAAUUUACAUGUCUUACUAAAGGAAAGCAUCACAGGCCUCCAUUACUUCAGUUCUUUAUUAUGUAUUGUUUGAAAUACACAAUAAUCCAAGAGCCUCAGGUGUGCCUGAGGUGUCUUGUGACCAAAGUCAUGGGAUGGCUGCAAUGUCCCUUCAGCAAAAGAUUUCUACAAAUCACUGAAAACAAUCUCUGUUUUCCCCAAGGAUUCUUUACUUUUUACCACAAUGAUACUUCAAGGUCAAAGUACUUCUAGACAACAACUGUUCACUCUAAUGUCUACCCCAGAUACAGUGACUACUAAAUUCUUACAACACACAUUUUUGACAGACAGUUUCUCUUUAGAAUGGAUUCUACAGUGUCUAUGUAAAGACGACCUGCCAGUGAAGCUUUCCCACAUUCGGUGCAGACAUGUGGCUCCUAUCCUGUGUGAAUUCAUUCAUGCUCUUUGAGGUCCCCUGUUGAGAGGAGAAAGACCCAAAGAAGUAGAUCUGAAGAACAGGAUGAAGGAGGAACUGCACAGAGAUCCACCUCCAUACAGGAAAUAUGAGCCACGGAAAUGACCAGAACACCUGGUCUCUCUGGGGGCAGCACCAAGGCUUAUGCCCCAGCUCAGGCAGGCCGGUGUUGGGCCAGGAGCCAGGAUCCAGUCCUCU